rnacentral:lncRNA from 1 species
GAAAAAUGUUGUCCUGCAUUUUUCUUUCAAUGUAAUCUCAAUGUAAAUGUAGUCCUGUUUUUUUUUUAUUUUACACUCUAUUCUGUCCUGCCUUUCUUAGUUAUUAAUGUAUCCUGACUUGUUUUUCAUAAGUUCAUCAUGACUUUUCUUUUUGGCAAGAUGGCCAUACUGCCUUUUUUCUCUUAACUCCUGUCAUGCCUUUUUUUCUUUUCAAUUUUCAUACGUCAGACAAACUUCUUCGUGCAUGUGACUUCAUAUAUAUAUAUUUCAAAAGGGAUAAGAAAUGUC